ACAGAGGCAGGCUAGUUGUUUCCCUCUGCUGCUAGUCUUUAUGCUAAGCUAACCAGUCCUGUCUCUAAGUUCAUACUGUGUUCUCAUUGAUAAAUGGCUGUGUGUUAAAUAAUCAAAUCUCAGAAAAACUGCAUAUUCAUUUAUUUAAGGCAUCAAGUAGUUUUGGGCACUUGAUUGAAUCAUUUUGUUGUGUUAUGAUGAUUUCAAUGCAGACAUGUUUCAUAUUUUUACUUUUAAGGUGCUUGAGGAAAGUGAGCG